rnacentral:lncRNA from 1 species
GCAGCGAGAGCAGAGCAGCGUAGAGCAGCACAGCUGAGCUCGUGAGGCAGGAGACUCAGCCCGAGGAAAUCGCAGAUAAGUUUUUAAUUAAAAAGAUUGAGCAGUAAAAAGAAUUAGAACUCUAAACUUAAGCUAAUAGAGUAGCUUAUCGAAAUAUUACUUAGUCUUAAUAAUCUAAGAAGAUCUUAAGAGAUAACAUGAAGGCUUAUUUAAACAGUUUGAAAAAGGAAAUGAGGAGAAAAGUAUUUGUACUGUAUAAUGGAGGCUGACCAGAGCAGUUUAGGAGAUUGUAAAGGGAGGUUUUGUGAAGUUCUAAAAGGUUCUAGUUUGAAGGUCGGCCUUGUAGAUUAAAACGAAGGUUACCUAAAUAGAAUCUAAGUGGCAUUUAAAACAGUAAAGUUGUAGAGAAUAGUUUGAAAAUGAGGUGUAGUUUUAAAAGAUUGAGAAAAGUAGGUUAAGUUGACGGCCGUUAUAAAAAUCCUUCGACUGGCGCAUGUACGUUUGAAGGCAUGAGUUGGAAACAGGGAAGAUGGAAGUGUUAGGCUAGCCGGGCGAUGGUGGCGCACGCCUUUAAUCCUAGCACUUGGGAGGCAGAGGCAGGCGGAUUUCUGAGUUCGAGGCCAGCCUGGUCUACAGAGUGAGUUCCAGGACAGCCAGGGCUACACAGAGAAACCCUGUCUUGAAAAAACAAAAAGGUUAGGCUAGUAUUUGGAGAAAGAAGAUUAGAAAAUGGAAGUGAAAGACGAAGAAGACAUACAGGAAGGUGAAGAAAAAGCUGUUAGAGAAGAUAGGAAAAUAGAAGACAAAGCAUCUUUAGAAGACAGAAAAGGUACUUAAAGGCACAGGUAGUAGGAAGCCGAAGAAUAGAAGAUAGAAAGAAGCAAGAUAGAAAAACAAAAUGGAAGUUAAGACAACUUUGGAUGCCAGCAUUCAAGAUAGGCAAAGAAGAUAAGAUUGAGGCCAAAAGGUUGGAUAAGAUAUAAAGUCAGAAGGAAAUUAUCUUUAAAGCCAUAAGUUCAAAUUUCUGAUGGAGCGAGCAGUUUAGAAGAGUCUUUAGACAGCCACAUACAAGAUUGAAGCUAGCAAUCAAAGCUACUAGGACUGAAGUAAAAAGUUAAGGCAGAAUGCCUUUGAAGAGUUAGAAGAAUAUUAAAAGCCUUAACUUGUAGCUUAAUUUUGCUUGAUGACAAAAGGACUUUUGAUAACAGUUUCAAGAUUGUCAGCAUUUUGCAUUGGACUUGAGCUGAGGUGCUUUUAAAAUCCUAACGACUAGCAUUGGCAGCUGACCCAGGUCUACACAGAAGUGCAUUCAGUGAACUAGGAAGACAGGAGCGGCAGACAGGAGUCCCGAAGCCAGUUUGGUGAAGCUAGGAAGGACUGAGGAGCCAGCAGCAGCAGUGCAUGGUGAAGAUAGCCCAGGAAAGAGUGCGGUUCGGUGGAGGAAGCUAGGAAGAAGGAGCCAUACGGAUGUGGUGGUGAAGCUGGGAAAGGGUUCCAGGAUGGUGGAGCGAGAGCGAGUUGGUGAUGAAGCUAGCUGGCGGCUUGGCUUGUCAACUGCGCGGAGGAGGCGAGCAGGCAUUGUGGAGAGGAUAGAUAGCGGCUCCUAGACCAGCAUGCCAGUGUGCAAGAAAGGCUGCAGGGAGAGCAUGCGGUGCGGUAACAUUCCUUGAGGUCGGCAACAUGGUGGUGGUUUUCUGUAACUUGGAUGGUAACUUGUUUACUUUGUCUUAAUAGUUAUGGGGGAGUUGUAGGCUUCUGUGUAAAGAGAUAUAUCUGGGGCUGUAUGUAGGCCUUUGCGGGUGUUGUAGGUUUUUCUUUUUCAGGGUUAUGUCCUCUUGCAUCUUGUCAGAAGCUUUUGAGGGCUGACUGCCAAGGCCCAGAAAGAAGAAUGGUAGAUGGCAAGUUGUCUUUAACCGCUCAGAGGGGAAUGAAUGGUAGAGCCAGCACAACCUCCCAGUUUUGUAAGACGUUGUAGUUUGAACAGAUGACCUACCACAAGCCUCACUCCUGUGUAGGGGAGGUAAUUGGGCAAAGUGCUUUUGGGGGAAUGGGGGCAAAAUAUAUUUUGAGUUCUUUUCCCCUUAGGUCUGUCUAGAAUCCUAAAGGCAGAUGACUCAAGGGAACCAGAAAAAAGGAAAUCCACUCUCAGGAUAAGCAGAGCUCGCCAGGUUUACAGUUUGUAGGAAGUAGAGGAUGGAUGCUAGCUUUCACACUGAGUGUGGAGGAGCUGGCCAUGGCGGAAUUGCUGGUAGUUUACUCUUUCCCCCUCCCUUAAUGAGAUUUGUAAAAUCCUAAACACUUUUACUUGAAAUAUUUGGGAGUGGUCUUAACAGGGAGGAGUGGGUGGGGGAAACGUUUUUUUUCUAAGAUUUUCCACAGAUGCUAUAGUUGUGUUGACACACUGGGUUAGAGAAGGCGUGUACUGCUAUGCUGUUGGCACGACACCUUCAGGGACUGGAGCUGCCUUUUGUCCUUGGAAGAGUUUUCCCAGUUGCCGCUGAAGUCAGCACAGUGCGGCUUUGGUUCACAGUCACCUCAGGAGAACCUCAGGAGCUUGGCUAGGCCAGAGGUUGAAGUUAAGUUUUACAGCACCGUGAUUUAAAAUAUUUCAUUAAAGGGGAGGGGUAAAACUUAGUUGGCUGUGGCCUUGUGUUUGGGUGGGUGGGGGUGUUAGGUAAUUGUUUAGUUUAUGAUUUCAGAUAAUCAUACCAGAGAACUUAAAUAUUUGGAAAAACAGGAAAUCUCAGCUUUCAAGUUGGCAAGUAACUCCCAAUCCAGUUUUUGCUUCUUUUUUCCUUUUUCUUUUUUUGAGGCGGGCAGCUAAGGAAGGUUGGUUCCUCUGCCGGUCCCUCGAAAGCGUAGGGCUUGGGGGUUGGUCUGGUCCACUGGGAUGAUGUGAUGCUACAGUGGGGACUCUUCUGAAGCUGUUGGAUGAAUAUAGAUUGUAGUGUGUGGUUCUCUUUUGAAAUUUUUUUCAGGUGACUUAAUGUAUCUUAAUAACUACUAUAGGAACAAAGGAAGUGGCUUUAAUGACCCUGAAGGAAUUUCUUCUGGUGAUAGCUUUUAUAUUAUCAAGUAAGAGAUACUAUCUCAGUUUUGUAUAAGCAAGUCUUUUUCCUAGUGUAGGAGAAAUGAUUUUCCUUGUGACUAAACAAGAUGUAAAGGUAUGCUUUUUUUCUUCUUGUGCAUUGUAUACUUGUGUUUAUUUGUAACUUAUAAUUUAAGAAUUAUGAUAAUUCAGCCUGAAUGUCUUUUAGAGGGUGGGCUUUUGUUGAUGAGGGAGGGGAAACCUUUUUUUUUCUGUAGACCUUUUUCAGAUAACACCAUCUGAGUCAUAACCAGCCUGGCAGUGUGAUGACGUAGAUGCAGAGGGAGCAGCUCCUUGGUGAAUGAGUGAUAAGUAAAGGCAGAAAAAAUAAUGUCAUGUCUCCAUGGGGAAUGAGCAUGAGCCAGAGAUUGUUCCUACUGAUGAAAAGCUGCAUAUGCAAAAAUUUAAGCAAAUGAAAGCAACCAGUAUAAAGUUAUGGCAAUACCUUUAAAAGUUAUGGCUUAUCUACCAAGCUUUAUCCACAAAAGUAAAGAAUUGAUGAAAAACAGUGAAGAUCAAAUGUUCAUCUCAAAACUGCUUUUACAAAAGCAGAAUAGAAAUGAAGUGAAAAUGCUGCAUUAAGCCUGGAGUAAAAAGAAGCUGAGCUUGUUGAGAUGAGUGGGAUCGAGCGGCUGCGAGGCGGUGCAGUGUGCCAAUGUUUCGUUUGCCUCAGACAGGUUUCUCUUCAUAAGCAGAAGAGUUGCUUCAUUCCAUCUCGGAGCAGGAAACAGCAGACUGCUGUUGACAGAUAAGUGUAACUUGGAUCUGCAGUAUUGCAUGUUAGGGAUAGAUAAGUGCCUUUUUUCUCUUUUUCCAAAAAGACCUGUAGAGCUGUUGAAUGUUUGCAGCUGGCCCCUCUUAGGCAGUUCAGAAUUUUGAGUAGUUUUCCCAUCCAGCCUCUUAAAAAUUCCUAAGCCUUGCACCGAUGGGCUUUCAUGAUGGGAUAGCUAAUAGGCUUUUGCAUCGUAAACUUCAACACAAAAGCCUACAUGAUUAAUGCCUACUUUAAUUACAUUGCUUACAAGAUUAAGGAAUCUUUAUCUUGAAGACCCCAUGAAAGGGAUCAUUAUGUGCUGAAAAUUAGAUGUUCAUAUUGCUAAAAUUUAAAUGUGCUCCAAUGUACUUGUGCUUAAAAUCAUUAAAUUAUACAAAUUAAUAAAAUACUUCACUAGAGAAUGUAUGUAUUUAGAAGGCUGUCUCCUUAUUUAAAUAAAGUCUUGUUUGUUGUCUGUAGUUAGUGUGGGCAAUUUUGGGGGGAUGUUCUUCUCUAAUCUUUUCAGAAACUUGACUUCGAACACUUAAGUGGACCAGAUCAGGAUUUGAGCCAGAAGACCGAAAUUAACUUUAAGAAAGUCAGGGGUCUAAUUUGACCAUGGCUAAACAUCUAGGACCACACAGAAUGCAGGUGUCUUGACUUCAGGUCAUGUCUGUUCUUUGGCAAGUAAUAUGUGCAGUACUGUUCCAAUCUGCUGCUAUUAGAAUGCAUUGUGACGCGACUGGAGUAUGAUUAAAGAAAGUUGUGUUUCCCCAAGUGUUUGGAGUAGUGGUUGUUGGAGGAAAAGCCAUGAGUAACAGGCUGAGUGUUGAGGAAAUGGCUCUCUGCAGCUUUAAGUAACCCGUGUUUGUGAUUGGAGCCGAGUCCCUUUGCUGUGCUGCCUUAGGUAAAUGUUUUUGUUCAUUUCUGGUGAGGGGGGUUGGGAGCACUGAAGCCUUUAGUCUCUUCCAGAUUCAACUUAAAAUCUGACAAGAAAUAAAUCAGACAAGCAACAUUCUUGAAGAAAUUUUAACUGGCAAGUGGAAAUGUUUUGAACAGUUCCGUGGUCUUUAGUGCAUUAUCUUUGUGUAGGUGUUCUCUCUCCCCUCCCUUGGUCUUAAUUCUUACAUGCAGGAACAUUGACAACAGCAGACAUCUAUCUAUUCAAGGGGCCAGAGAAUCCAGACCCAGUAAGGAAAAAUAGCCCAUUUACUUUAAAUCGAUAAGUGAAGCAGACAUGCCAUUUUCAGUGUGGGGAUUGGGAAGCCCUAGUUCUUUCAGAUGUACUUCAGACUGUAGAAGGAGCUUCCAGUUGAAUUGAAAUUCACCAGUGGACAAAAUGAGGACAACAGGUGAACGAGCCUUUUCUUGUUUAAGAUUAGCUACUGGUAAUCUAGUGUUGAAUCCUCUCCAGCUUCAUGCUGGAGCAGCUAGCAUGUGAUGUAAUGUUGGCCUUGGGGUGGAGGGGUGAGGUGGGCGCUAAGCCUUUUUUUAAGAUUUUUCAGGUACCCCUCACUAAAGGCACUGAAGGCUUAAUGUAGGACAGCGGAGCCUUCCUGUGUGGCAAGAAUCAAGCAAGCAGUAUUGUAUCGAGACCAAAGUGGUAUCAUGGUCGGUUUUGAUUAGCAGUGGGGACUACCCUACCGUAACACCUUGUUGGAAUUGAAGCAUCCAAAGAAAAUACUUGAGAGGCCCUGGGCUUGUUUUAACAUCUGGAAAAAAGGCUGUUUUUAUAGCAGCGGUUACCAGCCCAAACCUCAAGUUGUGCUUGCAGGGGAGGGAAAAGGGGGAAAGCGGGCAACCAGUUUCCCCAGCUUUUCCAGAAUCCUGUUACAAGGUCUCCCCACAAGUGAUUUCUCUGCCACAUCGCCACCAUGGGCCUUUGGCCUAAUCACAGACCCUUCACCCCUCACCUUGAUGCAGCCAGUAGCUGGAUCCUUGAGGUCACGUUGCAUAUCGGUUUCAAGGUAACCAUGGUGCCAAGGUCCUGUGGGUUGCACCAGAAAAGGCCAUCAAUUUUCCCCUUGCCUGUAAUUUAACAUUAAAACCAUAGCUAAGAUGUUUUAUACAUAGCACCUAUGCAGAGUAAACAAACCAGUAUGGGUAUAGUAUGUUUGAUACCAGUGCUGGGUGGGAAUGUAGGAAGUCGGAUGAAAAGCAAGCCUUUGUAGGAAGUUGUUGGGGUGGGAUUGCAAAAAUUCUCUGCUAAGACUUUUUCAGGUGGACAUAACAGACUUGGCCAAGCUAGCAUCUUAGUGGAAGCAGAUUCGUCAGUAGGGUUGUAAAGGUUUUUCUUUUCC